UGGUGCAUUGGCCGGGAAACGAACCCGGGCCUCCCGCGUGGCAGGCGAGAAUGGACCUCCA
rnacentral:tRNA from 1 species